GCAAAAACCACCGGGGAAAGAGGAUCUCAGGUCUCCGACCUUUCUGCACUGGAAAGGCAGCACGGCGCAACGUGCUCCGCUCUGCUCGAAAUCCCAACGCCACAAGGUUUUCGGGUUAAGGAUGGACACCCCGAAUGCUCUCCACCGAGCUCCACCGGACUUGGGUACCCCGUGGCGUUCCCGUCCGCACUCCCGCCGUCCCAGUCCGAGCGCCACUGCUCUGAGAGGGGCCAGUGAGGGUCACUUACCGUCGCUCUCCGCCCUGACGAGCAGGGACAUGCCCUUCAGCCUCUCCACGUAGCCGGAGGACACAUGGCCAGUACCCCGGUCGUCCCACUGCCGGUCCUCGUUGAGCGUGUAGACCUUCACCCGCCGUCGGGUGUCGGUCAUCGUGCCGGCCGGGGGCCCCGCCCGAGUGGCCCAGGGACAGUGUCCAGAAAAGGCGGGCGGCCGCAAACGGGGAACUCCGGGACCUCAGUGCCACCGCUGGCCGCCGCGGAGCUGCGCCGCCGCUCGCAUGGCCCGCUCCCGGGUCCGAGCCCCGGGCCGCCGCCUUCUCUCGUCUCCUUCUCCCCGGCGCUAUUGUCCAGGCCGAGCGAGCGCGGCCGCCCAGCAGCCCCGACAGGGAACGCGCAGCACUACGCAGCCUACCGGCCCGCCGUUCCAACGAGGUGCGGCUCGGUUCACAGACCCGCUCCGGCCUCCACCAUGACCUCCGCAGAGCCGCUUUCCCGCGCCGCCGCCUCCUCAGGCCGCCGCCGCCAUGUUUUCCUCCCUUGUACCUGGCCCAGCCGCUGCAGCCGGAAGCCCCGCUCCGCUCCUCCCGCUUAAAGCAUCCGAAGCCGGUGAGGUAGCACUUCCCGGGAGACUCCGAACGCCUCUGGCCACCCGAGAACCCCUGGCUCUUCUUAGAAGCCGCCUUCCCUACUCCGCCGCCUCUUCCGUCUUCCUCACAGAGCCAAAGCCGCCGCCAUCUUGGCUCGCCCCUCAAAAGCGGCGCGCGGGGCCACCUAGGCAGUAGCGGCAGGGGCGGCCCGCAAGCCCCACCACUUAAAGCGACAAGACGGGAGCCGGCAGCUUCGCUCCGGCCGAGGCCUUGCACCGAGGCGGGCGCGGAGCUGCGGGGGUGGCGGGAGCGGAGGAGGCGGGACGCGAGUCGCGCCGGUGACGGACCGGGACUCCCUCGCGCUGCCCUGCGCGUACUGUCGUGCAAGCGCGGGCUGCGUGUGCGUCCGUCGCACUUUGAAUUCGUCAUCACCUCGGCUCCGGGCGGGGAAGGGGUGUGGAGUCUGUUGGCGGCUUCGGGAGCNNNNNNNNNNNNNNNNNNNNNNNNNNNNNNNNNNNNNNNNNNNNNNNNNNNNUAAAUGACACAACCUCGGGGUUCGACGUGUGAUAAGGUAUCCUGUAACUACUCUUUGUACCGCUGGGAUCUACCCUGCUUCACUGGAUGACAUGCAGCCUUUUCUCUUAGCAACCGCAUGAAUAAACAUCCAAGAGAACUUGUUUGUUUGGUUUAGUUUUUUGAGACAAGGUUUCUCUGUAUAGCCCUGGCUGCCCGGGAACUCACUCUGUAGACCAGGCUGGCCUCAAACUCAGAAAUCUGCCUGCCUCUGCCUCCUGAGGGCUGGGAUUAAAGGCGUGCGCCACCACACCCGGCGAUAACUUUUUUUUUUUAAAGAUUUAUUUUUAUGUGUAUCAGUUUGUCUGCGUGUAUGUAUGUGCACUAUGUGUAAGCCUGAUGCUCUUGGAGGCCAGAAGAGGAUGUUGGAUCACCUGUUAACUGUGAUUACAGGCAAUUGGGAACUGCAUGCGGAUGAUGAGAAGCAAGGCCUUGUCCUUUACAAGAGAAGCCUGUGGUUUAAACUGCUGAGCUGUCUUUCUAGUUCCAAAUACCUAAGAGGAGUCUAAAGUCCUUCUCAAAGGACCUUGAGAUAUCUUUUUUUGCUUGUUUUUUCAAGACAGGGUUUCUCUGUGUAGCCCUGGCUAUCCUGGAACUCACUCUGUAGACCAGGCUGGCCUCGAACUCAGAAAUCCGCCUGCCUCUGCCUCCUGAGGGCUGGGAUUAAAGGCGUGCGCCACCACUGCCUGGCCCUUGAGAUAUCUUAGUGAAUGAGGAAAGGCACUUAAACUGCUAAACCCAACCAAGUGAAUUUGAUCCUUGAAACUCACAUGAUGGAAGGAGAGAACCAAUCCCCUUACCUUGUUCUCUGACAGCUACACACCCCUCUCCCACAGAAAUAAAAUGUU
ensembl:lincRNA D130020L05Rik RIKEN cDNA D130020L05 gene